rnacentral:tRNA from 1 species
GCAUGAGUAGCUCAGUGUUAGAGCCCCGGUCUUGUAAGCCGAAUGCCGAAGGUUAGAGUCCUUCCUCUUGCU